GAGUUCCGCUAGGGGUGCCGUAAGGCUGAGAUAGGUUGAGUCCUGACCCUUUGAACCUGUUGGGUAAUGCCAGCGUAGGGAAGCGGAUGGCUUUUGCA
rnacentral:ncRNA from 2 species